AUACGGAGGAUCCGAGCGUUAUCCGGAUUUAUUGGGUUUAAAGGGUGCGCAGGCGGCCAUUUAAGUCAGCGGUUAAAUCGUGGGGCUCAACCCCAUUCUGCCGUUGAUACUGGGUGGCUUGAUUGCGGUCGAGGUUGGCGGAAUUCGUUGUGUAGCGGUGAAAUGCAUAGAUAUGACGAAGAACACCGAUUGCGUAGGCAGCUGACCAGAUCGCAAAUGACGCUCAUGCACGAAAGUGCGGGGAUCGAACAGGAUUAGAUACCCUGGUAGUCCGCACAGUAAACGAUGAAUACUUGUUUUCGGCGAUAUAAUGUCGGAGGCAAAGCGAAAGCGAUAAGUAUUCCACCUGGGGAGUACGCCGGCAACGGUGAAACUCAAAGGAAUCGACGGGG
rnacentral:rRNA from 1 species